rnacentral:rRNA from 1 species
CAGCAGCCGCGGUAAUACGGAGGGGGUUAGCGUUGUUCGGAAUUACUGGGCGUAAAGCGCACGUAGGCGGCUUGGUAAGUUAGAGGUGAAAGCCUGGAGCUCAACUCCAGAAUUGCCUUUAAGACUGCCGAGCUAGCAGGUGAGAGAGGUAAGUGGAAUUCCGAGUGUAGAGGUGAAAUUCGUAGAUAUUCGGAAGAACACCAGUGGCGAAGGCGGCUUACUGGCUCAUACUGGACGCUGAGGUGCGAAAGCGUGGGGAGCAAACAGGAUUAGAUACCCCAGUAGUCCCUGUCUCUUAUAC